UUUUCCCACACACUCUCCAAAUUUUCCAAAGAAACCCUAAAUCCUCUUCCUCUCCCAAACUUCAACCUCCAAAUCCCUCGCGCAGCACCUUCACAGUUUCCUCGCUUCCAAAGGCGUCGUUUUCGACCUCCUCGAUGCGCGACACUACGAGCAUGAGGAUCUCACCAAGGAAACGCUCCUCCUCCUCGUCGCUUCCACCUGGGAAGACGGGAAGCCUCCGCUCGAAUCUCGCUUCUUCGCCUCGUGGCUGGCCGAGAGCGCCGAGGAUUUUAGGGUUGGUUCGUUGCUGCUAUCGCGGUUGAGGUUUAGGGACCUCGCAAAGAGGAUUUAGGAGCUGGGCGCGGCGGAAGUGGUUCCUCUUGUUGAAGGGGACGUGGAUGCGGUUUUCGACAGGUGGUGUGCGGCGAUGGUUGGGGUGUUGAAAGGUGGUAAUGACGGUGGUGUUGUGGAGAGUGAUGAGGAAGGGGUAUAAAAUUAUUGGUUCAUAUAGCGGUGUCAAGAUUUGUAGAUGGACCAAGUCUCAGCAUCGAGGACGAGGUGGUUGCUACAAGCACUCAUUUUAUGGAAUCGAGAGUCAUAGGUAAUAUUCACACCCACUAACUGUUUGAUAAAAGGACAGAAUGAAUUUUCACUCAUAUUUUUCUCAGUCUCUCUUAGCACAUCACUUGAUUGAUGAAAGGGUUAGAUGGAAUUUGUUAUUUGAUCAUGAAAAGUUUGGUUAAGUUGCUUUUGGAUUCUGUUAAGAGCAUUAUUUCAUUGUUAGCAUGAUUGAAUGUUGUUUCUAAAGGAGUUUAGUUAACUACAAACAGUUUUUGCUGCUAAUUAACAUGAUUUUCCUGUUCAUUUAGUUGAGUUAGGAUUUAGUGAGAUUCUAUGUUCAUAUUCGUGCUUGUUAUCUGUUUGAUGCAAUGACUGAAUGAAUUUCCUUCGAUAAUUUUGUUCUAAUUUUCAUGCGUGCCAAACUGUUUGAUGAAAUGCUUCACUGAAUUCUUCUCUUUUAUCUUCAUGUCUGUUGAAUUGGGAGUUGAACAAAGCAGAAGAGAUGAUAGAAUCACUUGGUUAUGUGCUCAUGUACUUUUUUGAGAGGAAGUCUCCCUUGGCAAGGCUUGAGAGCUGGUACUAAGAAGCCAAAAUAUGACAAGAUAAGUGAAAAGAAGAUAAGCCAAAACAUGAUUUACUUCUCUCUGGUCUUGUAUACUGAGGUUUACGUAAUUGAUUUUGGCCUUGCGAAAAAGUAUCGGGAUCUUCAAACCCACAAGCAUAUACCAUAUAGCUCAACAAUUCUACCUAUGCAUGAAAAUCCCUCCGUAUGUAUCAUCAUCUGAUUCUGAACUCAAAAAGAGCAAAGUAGCAACACAAGGAUAGACAACUCAUGGGCCUACAACAAUGACAAGGCCUAAACAGGUUGAUAUGCUGAUGGUGG